UGGCUCUCGCAUCGAUGAAGAACGCAGCGAAAUGCGAUAAGUAAUGUGAAUUGCAGAAUUCAGUGAAUCAUCGAAUCUUUGAACGCACCUUGCACCCCUUGGUAUUCCGAGGGGUAUGCCUGUUCGAGUAUCAUCGAAUCUCUCAACGCGCGAUUUCGUCGCUGCGCUUGGAUGUUGGAGCGUGCAGAUGAACUUACAUCUGCUCCUCUCGAAACGCAUCAGCGGAACACGAACCAGCCGUUCUCAGCGUGAUAAUUAUCUGCGUUGCGAUCGGUCGGGGAACACUCUGCUUUCUCUGGUUGCGCCUCGCGCGCAUCUCUGUCACGAUUUGAUCUCGAAUCAGGUAGGAUUACCCGCUGA
rnacentral:misc_RNA from 1 species